ACGGAAGGCAGCAGUGGGGAAUAUUGGACAAUGGGGGAAACCCUGAUCCAGCGACGCCGCGUGAGUGAAGAAGUAUUUCGGUAUGUAAAGCUCUAUCAGCAAGGAAGAAAAUGACGGUACUUGACUAAGAAGCUCUGGCUAAAUACGUGCCAGCAGCCGCGGUAAUACGUAUGGAGCAAGCGUUAUCCGGAUUUACUGGGUGUAAAGGGAGCGUAGACGGCGAAACAAGUCUGAAGUGAAAUCCCGGGGCUCAACCCCGGAACUGCUUUGGAAACUGUUUUGCUGGAGUGCAGGAGAGGUAAGCGGAAUUCCUAGUGUAGCGGUGAAAUGCGUAGAUAUUAGGAGGGACACCAGUGGCGAAGGCGGUUAGCUGGACAAUAACUGACGCUGAGGCGCGAAAGCGUGGGUAGCAAACAGGAUUAGAUACCCUGGUA
rnacentral:rRNA from 1 species